GCAGAGGUAGCCAAGCUAGGUCAAAGGCGCAGGCUUCAGGAGCCUGUCGCGAAGGCGUUCGUGGGUUCAAAUCCCACCCUCUGCACCA
rnacentral:tRNA from 1 species